UACGUAGGGAGCAAGCGUUGUCCGGAAUCAUUGGGCGUAAAGCGCGCGUAGGUGGCCUCGUAAGUCCGCUGUGAAAGUCAAAGGCUCAACCUUUGAAAGCCGGUGGAUACUGCGGGGCUAGAGUACGGAAGAGGCGAGUGGAAUUCCUGGUGUAGCGGUGGAAUGCGCAGAUAUCAGGAGGAACACCAGUGGCGAAGGCGGUCUCCUGGGGCAUUCUUGACGCUGAGGCGCGAAAGCUGGGGGAGCAAACGGG
rnacentral:rRNA from 1 species